rnacentral:lncRNA from 1 species
AUCAGCUGUGGCAUGAGGUCUACAGCCCUGACGCAGAUGUAAACAUCCGUGUGGCUCUGACACUCCUACACUAGAAUGCUGCUUGGAUUUGCCGUAAAACAGACUAAAAGAAUGACAGGUGAAUCUGUCAACCAGAGUCAAAUAAUUUUUUCCAACCAACCAGGCAACUCACAAAAUCAGUGGGUUCCUGGGGUAUAAUUUUCAGGCAUCAGGCUUCCAGAGGUCAGAAUUCUGGCCACCCAUGAUAUUCUUCCUCCAGUGAGGAGCCCUCCGGACCUGCUCCAUAGCGAGGGCAGGACCUGCCUCCCAGCAGAGCAGAGAUGAGCUAGUCAGGAGCAGGAGAAAUGAUCUUCAGACUCAGGGGCCCAGCAUUCCCCAGGUUUCCUGCAGGUCUCAAAAUCUAUCUUGAACAAACUUGCUUACAUCAUUUAUUUUUAAAUAAAAAAGAACCACUAUUGGGAGAAGGUAGUGCUUGAUUGUUUCCUCUUGGCAGAGUUCAUUCCAUAGCCUG